rnacentral:tRNA from 1 species
GAAUUAUGUUAAUCAAAAUAAAGCUUCUAACUUAUAUUUUUAAUAGUGUAAUUCUAUUAAUAAUUCU